GCCGUGUCCCUCUCUCUCCCGAUGUGGUUGUUCUACACAACAUCGCUUGCGACGACCAAUGCACUGCACCCUUUCUUUUUUUUUCCAUGCGGCAUUGAUCGGCAUGGCAUCGAUUGCGGUUACGAAACAUCACCUCUUUUAUGCCCAUCAGCAGCGGACGAACGGUGACCGACGGCAGGACACUGAUGGCCAUGCUUCCGG
rnacentral:lncRNA from 1 species